AGAGUUUGAUCCUGGCUCAGAACGAACGCUGGCGGCGUGCUUAACACAUGCAAGUCGAACGAGAAAGCUUUCUUCGGAGAGCGAGUAAAGUGGCGCACGGGUGAGUAACGCGUAGAUAACCUGCCCUGAUGUUUGGGAUAACCCACCGAAAGGUGGACUAAUACCGGAUAAGCUGAUCAAUCAUAAGUUUGAUCAGGAAAGAUGGCCUCUAUUUAUACGCUAUCGCAUUUGGAGGGGUCUGCGUACCAUUAGCUUGUUGGUGGGGUAAUGGCCUACCAAGGCGACGAUGGUUAGCGGGUCUGAGAGGAUGAUCCGUCACACUGGCACUGAAACACGGGCCAGACUCCUACGGGAGGCAGCAGUGAGGAAUAUUGCGCAAUGGGGGGAACCCUGACGCAGCGACGCCGCGUGAGUGAGGAAGGCCUUCGGGUCGUAAAGCUCUGUCAAAAGGGAAGAAAUGCUUUGUGGUUAAUACCCGCAUAGUUUGACGGUACCUUUAAAGGAAGCACCGGCUAACUCCGUGCCAGCAGCCGCGGUAAUACGGAGGGUGCAAGCGUUGUUCGGAAUCACUGGGCGUAAAGGGCGCGCAGGCGGUUUGGUAAGUCAGAUGUGAAAGCCCACGGCUCAACCGUGGAAGUGCAUUUGAAACUGCUAGACUUGAGUACCAGAGGGGAAGUGGAAUUCCCGGUGUAGAGGUGAAAUUCGUAGAUAUCGGGAGGAUACCGGUGCGACGCGACUUUCUGGCUGAUACUGACGCUGAGGCGCGAAAGCGGGGGAGCAACAGGAUAGAUACGUGGUAGUCACGCGUAAACCGAUGUCAACUAGGUGUAGGGGUGUUGAUCCUUCUGUGCCGCAGCUAACGCAUUAAGUUGACCGCCUGGGGAGUACGGUCGCAAGAUUAAAACUCAAAGGAAUUGACGGGGGCCCGCACAAGCGGUGGAGUAUGUGGUUUAAUUCGAUGCAACGCGAAGAACCUUACCUGGUCUUGACAUCCCGAGGAUCUCCUGGAAACAGGAGAGUGCUUUCAUUAGAGAGAACUUGGUGACAGGUGCUGCAUGGCUGUCGUCAGCUCGUGUCGUGAGAUGUUGGGUUAAGUCCCGCAACGAGCGCAACCCUUGCCUUUAGUUGCCAGCAGUUCGGCUGGGCACUCUAAAGGGACUGCCGGUGUCAAACCGGAGGAAGGUGGGGAUGACGUCAAGUCCUCAUGGCCUUUAUGACCAGGGCUACACACGUACUACAAUGGCCGAUACAAAGGGCAGCUACAUUGCAAAAUGAUGCGAAUCCCGUAAAGUCGGUCUCAGUCCGGAUUGGGGUCUGCAACUCGACCCCAUGAAGUUGGAAUCGCUAGUAAUCGUGGAUCAGCAUGCCACGGUGAAUACGUUCCCGGGCCUUGUACACACCGCCCGUCACACCACGGGAGUCGGUUGUUCCAGAAGCAGUUGUGCCAACCUUCGGGAGGUAGGCUGCCAAGGAAUGGCUGGUAACUGGGGUGAAGUCGUAACAAGGUAACCGUA
rnacentral:rRNA from 1 species